rnacentral:lncRNA from 1 species
UAUAAAUAUAAACUAUAAUACUAAUAUAUAGAAUAUGAUAAUAAUUAUAUAUUAAUAAUAUAAAAUAUGAAAAAUAAAAAAUAUAUAUAAUAAUUUUUAUUUAUAAUUUUUUUCUUUUCAACCAAACAACCAUCUCGAAAAAUUACUUUUCUUUUCCUACGAACCAAACAUAAACAACGUAAAAUAUUUUUUCCACCGAAAACUUUUUUUUCACAGAAAAUUUUUUUUCCACAGUUUUACGUGGAACCAAACACACCCUUAGCUUUAGAUUUUUUUCAAAUUCCAAAAAUAUAAAGGAUUGUUUUUUCUUUUAUUUUCUAUUCUAUAGAAUAGAAUAAGGCUUCAUUUGUGAUUACAGAAAGAUUGCAUUACGUGCGAUGAGAAAAUACCCUUUUUUUUCGUACGUAAUAUUGCGUUACACAUAUCGCGAUGAGUCGGUUACGAUAUAUUUUCUGCGGUCCCAUCGGAGAACGCAGAAGCAUAUCUCUAUAUAUUUUUUUCUCAACUCCAUUUUAUCUAAUAACGUUAGAUAGAUCUCAAUACCAAACUAAGCCUAAGAGCUUUUUCUGAAACACAAUUCCGAAAAUAAAAGAGUGAUUUAAAAAAGAAUCAAUAGUCUAAAAU